GCCAGUGCCAGAUGAGAGAGCAGGAGACAAAAGUAACAUUUUCCACGUCCUCCUAGGCUGGCAGCGGGGCCUUCCCCCAGCGCCACUUGCCCCUGGCAGUCCUAACCCUGGGUGCCAGAGUAGCCAAGGCCCAGGCCAGGACCUACAGACUGAUGGAUGCCAGAGCCCAGGAGGCCCAAGGGCCUGUCCGGCAGAGACUGGCACCUGGGGACAGCCUUUUGGCUGGCGGGAGCCCUCUUACCCAGCCAGGGCAGGGGACAUCGUUCUCACUUCCUGGCUUUUGAGAAAGUGACCCUGUCCUUCAGUUCCUUGGCUUGUACCUGUUGGUGGAGAUGUCAGAGAAGAACAGUGGCAAUGGAACACUGGUGAAAUCCUCCCCAGCUGGCUAGGAGUGAACGUGGCUGCUCCAGAAAGCCUCCUAGGAAAGUGAAAGCCUGUCAUGUGUAUCAGAAGACCCAGUGGGACCUCAAACACAGGUAGCCAUCUGCCCCACUUGGGCAGAGUUCUCACUCCAUUAGAAACAGUCCUGGAUAUGAUAGUGGACUGGCCGACAAGAAUCCACAUUUGCUUUUUCAGAGAAGACGGGACUAGUCCUCUCCUCAGAGGCUUUACCUGGUGCCAGGCCUGCCCUGCCCCCAGCCCAUCAGGGGCUCAGCCUGGCCUCCAACCAGUGAGAAAGAUCCUUGCCCAGGACAGGACAGGGGACAGUGCCAAGGAUUCCAGGCCCCUGCCUCAGCCCUGCCUUCUGCCCUGCAGGCCACGAUGACCUGACUUGUCCUCUUGAAGCAGAUGGAAUCCGGCAGGGACAGAUUGCCUGUGGUGGAGGGCAGAAUUAGCUCCGAGACAGCCUCUUGGAGCCCAGUGACACAGUAGGCACACCCGGCCCUAUCCUCCAACCCCCUUGCUGCAUGUUGUCAUCCAGACGGGCUCCAUCAGUGUUUAAGCCUCAGUGUACUGGUCCACAAAAUGGGCAGGGAUACCCGCUGGUGGAGAUCCAGGGCUGUAAGUGACCCCCUGAAUACCUGUAGCUCAGAGGAAAGACCCGGGGAGCUAUACAGUCUUUGGAAACUGCAGGUUCCCUGAGGUGGCAGACUGUGUUAAUUUGCUGGAUCCAGAGUGUGGCCCCCUGUCCCAGUUCUCUCUAGCCUCCCCUAAGCCAGCCCCAGCAGGCUCAACAUCUGCUCUCUGUUACUCAGAGCCAUCCAGUUGGAGUCUGUGCAUGCUGGUGGUACUCAGGAGGGUAGGUUGAGAAAUUGUGUCUGUCAGUGUCCAGUGGGUGAAGCUGUGAUGGCUUCUCUCAUGACAGGGUGUGCAAGAGGCCUUGUCACUUGGGAUGACCUAGCCACUUGGAGACCUGGACCUGCUAUACAUCACUUAGGUAGGGCACAGCACCCACUCUACCCUUGGCAGGCUCUGUAUGCCACCCACCAGAGGUUCAGUGGCAGCAGUUUGGCCAGAACUCUGAGGUUCUCUGGAAUGUCAUCAACUCCAGGCACGGCUUCUGUGUGUGGCUCAUCCUUGCAGCCUCUGGGUCCUUGGUGACUAGGUCCUUGUAGGAGGGGCAGGUUCAGGACUUUAUGAGAUUUGAGCCCCAACAUUUGGCCAUGAGGCCACAUGGAUAAAAUAAUCUCCUGGCCUUGAGCUACCCUGAGUUCCAGAUGGCUCCUAAGCUGUGCCAAGGCCUUUUGGGGGGCCCUUUCGGGUUGGUGUUCGUAGGAAACUAUAUAAAUGCAAAAAGGGUACUCAUGGAUGUACCCCAACACCCAACUAGUAUCUCUUUGCUUCUAGGCUUCAGCCUCUUCUUGACGGUUUCCCCAGGUGACUCUUGAAGCUCAAGGACCAUGUCCAACCCAGGUCAGUGCAGUGUUUUGGUUGUUUAUGGAACUCAGGGUCACCUACCCCAACUCUCAUGGAUGAUACUGCUGUGGGUCCAUGCAGCCAUGCAGACCUGGAGGUCUGCAUAUGCUGCGUCUUGGCUGGGCAGUCUCAACUCCUGCCUGCCUCUUUCUGGGACUCUAGGAUGUCUGGAUAUAUCCAGGGGUACCCAGGACACUAGACUGGGCCAUCUUUCUGCCCAACUAUCAAGAGGGAGAUAGGAGAACAAUGAGAUGACCCCAGGACAUGUGAACUACCUACAGCAUCACUCAGGGCUCAGUGGUAAAGGUCCUUGCUUCCUCUGCCACCAAUACCUUGCAGUUAGUUAUAACUGGGAACCUGUGCACUUUGGGUCUCUUGUGCUCAGAGGUGGCAGCCAGCCUGGAAGCUGUGCUCACACUUGACCCCGCCAGCAAGGAGCCAGAUACCAAGUACAGCUUUGGACCCACCUAGAUGAAUCUAGAUCCAAGGCAUUGGUGUGGCCAUGGUCAGAGGCAGUUUCAUCUCUCAGGGUGCCCCACGCCAUCUUGUAUAAGCCCAAACAACCUGUAUUUGGGACCCCUCUGCUGUCUGUGCAUUGGUGUGUAUGGGCUGACACACACACUACCAUGGUCUCUGUGUCUGCACCUGGGGUCGGGGAUGCUGGCCAAUGCCUGGGAGUAGGGCAAAUAGACCUCCAGGCCUCUGUAGAUGGGACAGGGCAGAGCGGGAAAGCACAGGCAGAGAAGGAAGAGUGAGCAGAACACCUGGAUAUACCUCAGGAGAGCAGCUGGCCCAGGAACCCCGGGAGACCUAGGAGCUCUUGGCCAAGGGGCUCUGAUUCACAGAUCCUGGGCUUUCCUAGGUACCCACCCUCAGCCAGACCUGCCUGUGAUACCCCAUCUCGCUACAGGCAGCCUCCAGUACACACAAUCCCCCAGUGUCUCACGGACAUAGAUGGGGUGCACCUUUUACAAGGGCUCAGUCCCGGAAUGUGCCCCCAAGUCUUUGAGUCCCGAGUGCUAAUGUAUGUGGGAGACUGUGGGUUUAAAGAUUGGAGUCUCAGAGAGGUCCUAGGCCAAGACAUAUGAGGAAGAGUCCAGAAGAGAAAAGGCUGGGCUGGGCUGGGGAGAUUGGCCAGUCCUGGUCCAUGACCCAGCCCCGACUUAGCACCAGGCACACAAGAUGCACUGGAUGUAUGCAGUAGGUGCUUACUCAGUGCGAGUGUUAGUGAGGGUUAAUUUCAGAGACCCGCCCCCCCCCCAUACACAAUAUGGGGCUUACUAUCCCAUCCUCCUUUCCAGGGGUCUCUACGGGUAGAGAGAGCUGGCCUCACCUCACCCGUGGCCUGGGGACACUGGGCCAUGAGGUCUUUGAGACACCUGCUUAGACUAGGGGGCUAUGGCAAGUCUGGGGCUCUAGGGUUCAGUUGGCAAGGUUGGAAUCGAACCAGGCUGGAUCUGGGCCUGGGAGGUCUGAGCACAGGCAAGCCCCUGGCCUUGUGCUCUCUCCAUACUUGUUUAGCCAGCCAUGAUCCCCACCGUGCUUAUAGUGUUAGCCCUGGCAAGUAGCCAAGCACAGCCAACCGCCGGCCUAGCAAGUGGUGGCCACAUGGCCUUGUUCAGUCUCUGAGGAAACUGAGGCUUGGGGGCAGUGGGCUGGACAGCCAAGGUAGACUCUAGCACACUAGAAGUCAUAGAUGGGGCUUCCAGAUUCCCAAGGUCUGGCACUCCCAGCCUAGAGACCAGCUGCCCCCAGGGUCCUCUGGAGGGUGAGAAAGGACACAGAUUCAUGUACUAGCCGGAUACUGUUGUGGUUUUUUUAAAAAAAUAAGGUCUCUAGCCUAGACUUGAACUCUCGACCCUCUGCCUUCGCCUCUGGAGUGCUUGGAUUAUAGGUGUGAGUCGCUACUGCCCGUUUGUAUAGUGCUGGGGCGUUAAACCUAGGAUUUGAGGCUUGCUGGGCAGGCACUCCACUGUCUGAGCUCCAGGUCUAGAUCUCGUAAAAAAUUUAAAAGGAUUUUUUUAGCCAGGGAAAGGUAGC